UACAGAGGUCUCAAGCGUUGUUCGGAUUCAUUGGGCGUAAAGGGUGCGUAGGUGGCGCGCUAAGUCAGGUGUGAAAUCUCGGGGCUUAACUCCGAAACUGCAUUUGAUACUGGCGUGCUUGAGGACUGGAGAGGAGACUGGAAUUCAUGGUGUAGCAGUGAAAUGCGUAGAGAUCAUGAGGAAGACCAGUGGCGAAGGCGGGUCUCUGGACAGUUCCUGACACUGAGGCACGAAGGCGAGGGGAGCAAACGGG
rnacentral:rRNA from 1 species